AACAGGAUUAGAUACCCUGGUAGUGCACGCCGUAAACGAUGUCGACUUGGAGGUUGUGCCCUUGAGGCGUGGCUUCCGGAGCUAACGCGUUAAGUCGACCGCCUGGGGAGUACGGCCGCAAGGUUAAAACUCAAAUGAAUUGACGGGGGCCCGCACAAGCGGUGGAGCAUGUGGUUUAAUUCGAUGCAACGCGAAGAACCUUACCUACUCUUGACAUCCAGAGAACUUAGCAGAGAUGCUUUGGUGCCUUCGGGAACUCUGAGACAGGUGCUGCAUGGCUGUCGUCAGCUCGUGUUGUGAAAUGUUGGGUUAAGUCCCGCAACGAGCGCAACCCUUAUCCUUUGUUGCCAGCGGUUCGGCCGGGAACUCAAAGGAGACUGCCAGUGAUAAACUGGAGGAAGGUGGGGAUGACGUCAAGUCAUCAUGGCCCUUACGAGUAGGGCUACACACGUGCUACAAUGGCGCAUACAAAGAGAAGCGACCUCGCGAGAGCAAGCGGACCUCAUAAAGUGCGUCGUAGUCCGGAUCGGAGUCUGCAACUCGACUCCGUGAAGUCGGAAUCGCUAGUAAUCGUAGAUCAGAAUGCUACGGUGAAUACGUUCCCGGGCCUUGUACACACCGCCCGUCACACCAUGGGAGUGGGUUGCAAAAGAAGUAGGUAGCUUAACCUUCGGGAGGGCGCUUACCACUUUGUGAUUCAUGACUGGGGUGAAGUCGUAACAAGGUAACC
rnacentral:rRNA from 1 species